rnacentral:rRNA from 1 species
AAAUUGAAGAGUUUGAUCAUGGCUCAGAUUGAACGCUGGCGGCAGGCCUAACACAUGCAAGUCGAACGGUAACAGGAAGCAGCUUGCUUCUUUGCUGACGAGUGGCGGACGGGUGAGUAAUGUCUGGGAAACUGCCUGAUGGAGGGGGAUAACUACUGGAAACGGUAGCUAAUACCGCAUAACGUCGCAAGACCAAAGAGGGGGAGCUUCGGGCCUCUUGCCAUCGGAUGUGCCCAGAUGGGAUUAGCUAGUAGGUGGGGUAACGGCUCACC